rnacentral:rRNA from 1 species
GUGGGGAAUAUUGGACAAUGGGCGAAAGCCUGAUCCAGCCAUGCCGCGUGUGUGAAGAAGGUCUUCGGAUUGUAAAGCACUUUAAGUUGGGAGGAAGGGCAGUAAGUUAAUACCUUGCUGUUUUGACGUUACCGACAGAAUAAGCACCGGCUAACUUCGUGCCAGCAGCCGCGGUAAUACGAAGGGUGCAAGCGUUAAUCGGAAUUACUGGGCGUAAAGCGCGCGUAGGUGGUUUUGUAAGUUGGAGGUGAAAUCCCCGUGCUCAACCUGGGAACUGCCUCCAAAACUGCAUGACUAGAGUACGGUAGAGGGUAGUGGAAUUUCCUGUGUAGCGGUGACAUGCGUAGAUAUAGGAAGGAACACCAGUGGCGAAGGCGACUACCUGGACUGAUACUGACACUGAGGUGCGAAAGCGUGGGGAGCAAACAGGAUUAGAAACCCGUGUAGUCC